rnacentral:pre_miRNA from 1 species
GGGUGGCUGGACCGCUUAAUGUGUUCAUGUUAAUGCUCAUCAAGCAGUCCAUCCAUCCUUG